rnacentral:rRNA from 1 species
GAUAAACGCUGACAGAAUGCUUAACACAUGCAAGUCUAUGGCAUGGCGGACGGGUGAGUAACGCGUAAAGAACUUGCCCUUUAGACUGGGAUAACAGAGGGAAACUUCUGAUAAUACUGGAUACUAAAGGAGAGCUUUUCGUCCUAUUAGUUAGUUGGUAAGGUAAGAGCUUACCAAGGCGAUGAUAGGUAGCCGGCCUGAGAGGGUGGACGGCCACAAGGGGAAUGGGAUGCGGCCGUUACUCCUACGGGAGGCAGCAGUGGGGAAUAUUGGACAAUGGAGGGAUCUAUGAUCAAGCAAUUCUGGGUGUGAGAAGAAGGUUUUAGGAAGGUAAAACACUAUUAGAAGGGAAGCGGUACCUACAGAAGAAGCAACGGCUAAAUACGUGCCAGCAGCCGCGGUAAUUC